rnacentral:rRNA from 1 species
ACGCUGUAAACGAUGAGUACUAGGUGUCGGGGGUUACCCCCUUCGGUGCCGCAGCUAACGCAUUAAGUACUCCGCCUGGGAAGUACGCUCGCAAGAGUGAAACUCAAAGGAAUUGACGGGGACCCGCCCAAGUAGCGGAGCAUGUGGUUUAAUUCGAAGCAACGCGAAGAACCUUACCUAAGCUUGACAUCCCAAUGACAUCUCCUUAAUCGGAGAGUUCCUUUCGGGGACAUUGGUGACAGGUGGUGCAUGGUUGUCGUCAGCUCGUGUCGUGAG